rnacentral:rRNA from 1 species
GUGGGGAAUAUUGGACAAUGGGCGAAAGCCUGAUCCAGCAAUGCCGCGUGAGUGAUGAAGGCCCUAGGGUUGUAAAGCUCUUUUACCCGGGAUGAUAAUGACAGUACCGGGAGAAUAAGCUCCGGCUAACUCCGUGCCAGCAGCCGCGGUAAUACGGAGGGAGCUAGCGUUGUUCGGAAUUACUGGGCGUAAAGCGCGCGUAGGCGGUUUUCCAAGUCAGGGGUGAAAGCCCGGGGCUCAACCCCGGAAUAGAAGUUGAAAAUGGAAGACUAGUAUGUUGGAGAGGUCAGUAGAAUUCCGAGUGUAGAGGUGAAAUUCGUAGAUAUUCGGAAGAACACCAGUGGCGAAGGCGACUUUCUGGACGAUGUCUGACGCUGAGGCGCGAAAGCUAGGGGAGCGAACGGGAUUAGAAACCCUUGUAGUCC